AUGCUCACGAUGGAUUUUGUUGAAGGUUUGCCCCGUUCCGGCCGUUUCAACUGUGUCCUCAUCGUUGUUGACAAGCUGUCGAGAUAUAGUCAUUUUGUUGGUCUCCAACAUCCCUUUACUAUGUCCACAGUGAUGGCAACCUUCAUGGAUAAUAUACACAAACUGCAUGGGAUGCCAGAGUCCAUUGUCACUGACCGUGAUCGAAAUUUUACUAGCAGGUUUUGGAAAGAAAUGGCAGCACUCACUGGUACAAAAUUGCAUAUGAGUUCUUCCCAUCAUCCCCAAACCGAUGGUCAAUCUGAGAGCGUUAACCAAUGUAUGGAAGCUUAUAUGUGA
rnacentral:rRNA from 1 species